rnacentral:rRNA from 1 species
AUUGUAAACUCCUGUCGGCCGGGAAGAAGUUCAUCGGGGGCUCAUACCCUCGGUGAUUGACUGUACCGGCAAAGGAAGCCCCGGCUAACUCUGUGC